GAGUUUAUUAAUUGUGAAAUUGUAUGAAUGAAUGAAUGAGGGUUUUAUUGUCUCAAUUUUAUUAUGUUGAAUUUUAUUUUUUUAUGAAAAAGUUAAAAUUUUAUAGGAGGACGAGAAGACCCUAUGAAUCUUUAGAAUAAUAACUUUAUAUAUUAAAGUGUUUAUUUUUGACUGGAGCGGUUGGUGAGAUUUUUAACUUCAUUUUUAUUUUUAAUUUUUGUAAAAAUAGAUAUUAUUUGAUUUUUAUUAUGGUGAAAUUAGAAGUUUAAGUUACUCUAGGGAUAACAGCAUAAUUUUUUUUAAGAGUUCUUAUUGACAAAAAAGUUUGUGACCUCGAUGUUGGAUGAAAUAUUUAUAGGGUGUAGAAUUUUUAGUAUUUUUAGUCUGUUCGACUUUAAUAGUUUACACGAU
rnacentral:rRNA from 1 species